UACGGAAGGCAGCAGUAGGGAAUCUUCCGCAAUGGACGAAAGUCUGACGGAGCAACGCCGCGUGAACGAUGAAGGCUUUCGGGUCGUAAAGUUCUGUUGUUAGGGAGAACAAGUACCGGAGUAACUGCCGGUACCUUGACGGUACCUAACCAGAAAGCCACGGCUAACUACGUGCCAGCAGCCGCGGUAAUACGUAGGUGGCAAGCGUUGUCCGGAAUUAUUGGGCGUAAAGCGCGCGCAGGCGGUCCUUUAAGUCUGAUGUGAAAGCCCACGGCUCAACCGUGGAGGGUCAUUGGAAACUGGGGACUUGAGUGCAGAAGAGGAGAGUGGAAUUCCACGUGUAGCGGUGAAAUGCGUAGAGAUGUGGAGGAACACCAGUGGCGAAGGCGACUCUCUGGUCUGUAACUGACGCUGAGGCGCGAAAGCGUGGGGAGCGAACAGGGAUUAGAUACC
rnacentral:rRNA from 1 species